rnacentral:sRNA from 1 species
AGUAGAUUGGGAAACUCUUCAAAUUAUUAUGAAAUGCCGAGACAAGCUUAGUCGUCUGAUGGCGGGCCCCAAUUCCUGCAAAGGAAUGCUUUCAUGCCAGGCGGAUUACAAAGGACGGCGAGCUCUCAAAUCCUGUCUAUUCGGAGUUUCAUCGCAUCCUUUGAUGUGGAAU